UGAAUCAAGGAUGCCUUCCCGGGAGAGAGGAGACAUCUGCUGUUGAGUCACAAAGAGUGGCUUCCCCUGGAAAAAAAAAGCAGCAACAGCAGAUGGAGUCUCAGACAACAAUGAAAAGCCUCAAAUCAAUAACAGAUGUAUAGAGCAGAUAAUAUAUAUCCAUUUUAAAAUCACUACUUCAGAAAUUAGGCAAAUGAUACAGAAGUGUGAGGUCUUCUCAUGGUACAAACAACUGAAGAAAUCAGCAUCAACAAUAGCUCUGGAAGGAAAAGCUGUUGGAUCUCAGAUGAUAAAAAAGCAGCCCCUUAGCUAAAUUCAUCUUGGGACAGACCCACAGCUGCUUCACUCAAGAAAAAACUGAAGAUUACAGGGCACAGAAAGCCAUAUUCCAUCUUUAUGUGGAAAAAUCCAUCAGGCUAAAAUAUCAGCAAGUGCACAAAACAUUAGACCAAUUACUAGCCACUGAAUUUCGUGCAAACCAGGUACACUUUGAACUUCACUUAGUUACCCCUUUCUUUUACCCCAAAGAAUGACACAGGCAUGGUUUCAGUGCCCAAAAAAGCAAAGCUGUAUUUUGAGAUCCUGGGGAUGGACAAGGAAAAACUGAGAUCAGCUGCUCCCAGGCCAGUGUCCUUCACCUGAAAGAGCAGAUUUAGCCGAGACACUCGGCUGGUGAUGGGCUCCAUUGGUCCUGCCUCGACUGGAUUUCGGGCUCCACAUUUAAACUUCAACAUCUUUACAACUUAUCUCAUAGAAACCAGCACCUGAAAAAGGGAACAGCGACAUUCAGGAAGCACUUGGCUGGCUGACUCCAAGUAAAAAAUAUGGAUGAGAGGA